rnacentral:rRNA from 1 species
UUCCGGUUGAUCCUGCCAGACCUGACUGCUAUCGGAUUGAUACUAAGCCAUGCGAGUCUUUGCAGUAAUGCAAGGCAUACGGCUCAGUAACACGUAGUCAACUUACCCUAUGGACGAGGAUAAUCUCGGGAAACUGAGCAUAAUACUCGAUAGAUCAUAAUGCCUGGAAUGGUUUAUGGUUGAAAUGAUUCGUCGCCAUAGGAUGGGACUGCGGCCUAUCAGCUUGUUGGUGAGGUAAUGGCCCACCAAGGCGAUUACAGGUACGGGCUCUGAGAGGAGAAGCCCGGAGAUGGGUACUGAGACAAGGACCCAGGCCCUAUGGGGCGCAGCAGGCGAGAAAACUUUGCAAUGUGCGAAAGCACGACAAGGUUAAUCCGAGUGAUUUCUGCUAAAGAAAUCUUUUGCAAGUCAUAAAACCACUAGUGAAUAAGGGGUGGGCAAGUUCUGGUGUCAGCCGCCGCGGUAAAACCAGCACCUCAAGUGGUCAGGAGGAUUAUUGGGCCUAAAGCAUCCGUAGCCGGCUCUGUAAGUUUUCGGUUAAAUCCAUGUGCUCAACACAUGGGCUGCCGAAAAUACUGCAUAGCUAGGGAGUGGGAGAGGUAGACGGUACUCGGUAGGAAGGGGUAAAAUCCUUUGAUCUAUCGAUGACCACCUGUGGCGAAGGCGGUCUACCAGAACACGUUCGACGGUGAGGGAUGAAAGCUGGGGGAGCAAACCGGAUUAGAUACCCGGGUAGUCCCAGCUGUAAACGAUGCAGACUCGAUGAUGCAUUGGCAUAUAGCCAGUGCAGUGUCGCAGGGAAGCCGUUAAGUCUGCCGCCUGGGAAGUACGUACGCAAGUAUGAAACUUAAAGGAAUUGGCGGGGGAGCACCACAAGGGGUGAAGCCUGCGGUUCA